rnacentral:rRNA from 1 species
UACGUAGGCAGCGAGCGUUGUUCGGAGUUAUUGGGCGUAAAGAGCGUGUAGGCGGCCAGGUAGGUCUGCUGUGAAAACUCGAGGCUCAACCUCGAGACGUCGGCGGAAACCAUCUGGCUAGAGUCCGGAAGAGGAGAGUGGAAUUCCUGGUGUAGCGGUGAAAUGCGCAGAUAUCAGGAAGAACACCCGUGGCGAAGGCGGCUCUCUGGGACGGUACUGACGCUGAGGUGCGAAAGCGUGGGGAGCAAACAGG